ACGCUGACGAUGCUUAACACAUGCAAGUCUACUUGAACUUCGGUUUGGGUGGCGGACGGGUGAGUAACGCGUAAAGAAUUUGCCUCACAGUUAGGGACAACAUUUGGAAACGAAUGCUAAUACCUGAUAUUAUGAUUUUAGGGCAUCCUAAAAUUAUGAAAGCUAUAUGCGCUGUGAGAGAGCUUUGCGUCCCAUUAGCUAGUUGGAGAGGUAACGGCUCACCAAGGCGAUGAUGGGUAGCCGGCCUGAGAGGGUGAACGGCCACAAGGGGACUGAGACACGGCCCUUACUCCUACGGGAGGCAGCAGUGGGGAAUAUUGGACAAUGGACCAAAAGUCUGAUCCAGCAAUUCUGUGUGCACGAUGACGUUUUUCGGAAUGUAAAGUGCUUUCAGUUGGGAAGAAAAAAAUGACGGUACCAACAGAAGAAGUGACGGCUAAAUACGUGCCAGCAGCCGCGGUAAUACGUAUGUCACAAGCGUUAUCCGGAUUUAUUGGGCGUAAAGCGCGUCUAGGUGGUUAUGUAAGUCUGAUGUGAAAAUGCAGGGCUCAACUCUGUAUUGCGUUGGAAACUGCAUGACUAGAGUACUGGAGAGGUAAGCGGAACUACAAGUGUAGAGGUGAAAUUCGUAGAUAUUUGUAGGAAUGCCGAUGGGGAAGCCAGCUUACUGGACAGAUACUGACGCUAAAGCGCGAAAGCGUGGGUAGCAAACAGGAUUAGAUACCCUGGUAGUCCACGCCGUAAACGAUGAUUACUAGGUGUUGGGGGUCGAACCUCAGCGCCCAAGCUAACGCGAUAAGUAAUCCGCCUGGGGAGUACGUACGCAAGUAUGAAACUCAAAGGAAUUGACGGGGACCCGCACAAGCGGUGGAGCAUGUGGUUUAAUUCGACGCAACGCGAGGAACCUUAC
rnacentral:rRNA from 1 species